AGAGUGAACGCUGGCGGUAGGCCUAACACAUGCAAGUCGAACGGCAGCACAGUGGUAGCAAUACCAUGGGUGGCGAGUGGCGGACGGGUGAGGAAUACAUCGGAAUCUACCUUUUCGUGGGGGAUAACGUAGGGAAACUUACGCUAAUACCGCAUACGCCCUUCGGGGGAAAGCCGGGGAUCGCAAGACCUGGCGCGGAUAGAUGAGCCGAUGUCGGAUUAGCUAGUUGGUGAGGUAAUGGCUCACCAAGGCGACGAUCCGUAGCUGGUCUGAGAGGAUGAUCAGCCACACUGGAACUGAGACACGGUCCAGACUCCUACGGGAGGCAGCAGUGGGGAAUAUUGGACAAUGGGCGCAAGCCUGAUCCAGCCAUACCGCGUGGGUGAAGAAGGCCUUCGGUUGUAAAGCCCUUUUGUUGGAAAGAAAGACAAUCGGUUAAUACCCGGUUGUUCUGACGUACCCAAAGAAUAAGCACCGGCUAACUCGUGCCAGCAGCCGCGUAAU
rnacentral:rRNA from 1 species